CAAAUGCUCGACAUUAGAAUAACUCGAUACCAAAGUUUCUAAUACAGAACCAAUGAAAGAUUUAUUGUAGAUACACAACAAUCAUUCCAAUAAUUUUUUUCUACACCUAUCACCUGCCACAACACCCAAGAAAGGAAAAAGGAAAAAACUACACACUCCCCUAUAUUCCCUUCUCUCGAGCCCUGCACUUCUCACACUCCAGCCACUCUACAGCCACCCUACUCUGCAGCUAUGCACAUGGUACUCACAACAGCCAGCCUUCCUCCCUUUUUACCUCUCUUUGCAGCAAGCAAGAACUUCAUUCUCUUCCAUUUUGAAACAAGAAACACCAAGGAGCAGGAGAAACUGCCUUCGCCUUGCAUUCAUUGCUUUGCCCACAUUCAAGGUGAGAUCUUGUGUUUAAUUCAUCCACCCCCACCUUG
rnacentral:lncRNA from 1 species